rnacentral:rRNA from 1 species
UACGUAGGGUGCAAGCGUUAAUCGGAAUUACUGGGCGUAAAGCGUGCGCAGGCGGCUUUGCAAGACAGAUGUGAAAUCCCCGGGCUUAACCUGGGAACUGCAUUUGUGACUGCAUGGCUGGAGUGCGGCAGAGGGGGAUGGAAUUCCGCGUGUAGCAGUGAAAUGCGUAGAUAUGCGGGGAACACCGAUGGCGAAGGCAAUCCCCUGGGCCUGCACUGACGCUCAUGCACGAAAGCGUGGGGAGCAAACAGG